AAGUCGUAACAAGGUUUCCGUAGGUGAACCUGCGGAAGGAUCAUUAAAGAAUCGCCCGCUUUGAAUUUGGUAAUGUUCCUAAUCCCAACUGUUUACAUACCUUAGUUGCUUUGGCAGGCCGUGGAAACACCAUGGGCUCCGGCUUAUGCGUGCCUGCCAGAGGAAACAAACUCUGUUUUUAGUGAUGUCUGAGUACUAUAUAAUAGUUAAAA
rnacentral:misc_RNA from 1 species